UACAGGGGGUGCAAACGUUGCUCGGAAUCAUUGGGCGUAAAGCGCACGUAGGCGGUCUGUUAUGUCGGAUGUGAAAGCCCUCGGCUCAACUGAGGAAGUGCAUCCGAAACUGGCAGGCUAAAGUACUAAAGAGGGUCGCGGAAUUCCCGGUGUAGAGGUGAAAUUCGUAGAUAUCGGGAGGAACACCGGUGGCGAAGGCGGCGACCUGGGUAGAUACUGACGCUGAGGUGCGAAAGCGUGGGGAGCAAACAGG
rnacentral:rRNA from 1 species